rnacentral:rRNA from 1 species
UAAGCAGAGUAUGAAAUAUCGCGGCUCAACCGUGGACCCGUAUUCUGAACUGAUUAACUAGAGGAUGAGAGAGGUUAUUGGAAUUUCUUGUGUAGGAGUGAAAUCCGUAGAUAUAAGAAGGAACACCGAUGGCGUAGGCAGAUAACUGGCUCAUACCUGACACUAAGGCACGAAAGCGUGGGUAGCAAACGGGAUUAGAUACCCCGGUAGUCCACGCUGUAAACGAUGGAUGCUA